GUAGGGUCCAAGCGUUAAUCGGAAUUACUGGGCGUAAAGCGUGCGCAGGCGGUUUUAUAAGCCAGAUGUGAAAUCCCCGGGCUUAACCUGGGAAUGGCAUUUGGGACUGUAAGGCUAGAGUACGGCAGAGGAGACUAGAAUUCCUGGUGUAGCAGUGAAAUGCGUAGAUAUCAGGAGGAAUACCGAUGGCGAAGGCAGGUCUCUGGGUCGAUACUGACGCUCAUGCACGAAAGCGUGGGGAGCAAACAGGAUUAGAUACCCUGGUAGUCCACGCCCUAAACGAUGUCAACUGGUUGUUGGGGAAUUGAUUUCCUUAGUAACGAAGCUAACGCGUGAAGUUGACCGCCUGGGGAGUACGGUCGCAAGAUUAAA
rnacentral:rRNA from 1 species